ACGAACGCUGGCGGCGUGCCUAAUACAUGCAAGUCGAGCGGAAUGAUGAAGAAGCUUGCUUCUUCUGAUUUUAGCGGCGGGCGGGUGAGUAACACGUGGGCAACCUACCUUGUAGAUUGGGAUAACUCCGGGAAACCGGGGCUAAUACCGAAUAAUCCAUUUUGCUUCAUGGCGAGAUGUUGAAAGACGGUUUCGGCUGUCACUACAAGAUGGGCCCGCGGCGCAUUAGCUAGUUGGUAGGGUAAUGGCCUACCAAGGCGACGAUGCGUAGCCGACCUGAGAGGGUGAUCGGCCACACUGGGACUGAGACACGGCCCAGACUCCUACGGGAGGCAGCAGUAGGGAAUCUUCCACAAUGGACGAAAGUCUGAUGGAGCAACGCCGCGUGAGUGAAGAAGGUUUUCGGAUCGUAAAACUCUGUUGUAAGGGAAGAACACGUACGAGAGUAACUGCUCGUACCUUGACGGUACCUUAUUAGAAAGCCACGGCUAACUACGUG
rnacentral:rRNA from 1 species